UAUUAUUAUUAUUAUUAUUAUUAUUAUUAACAUAGAUUCUUUGCUGAGGUUAACACCUUUAUAGCAAAAUAUCAAGAAAUACGGUUUCGUGUUAAAUAAAACACCAUUGAAUAAUGAAAAAUGAAAUACAAUUUUAAUCUACAGUUAAAUUAGUUAAUUAAUAAAGGUUAAUGUUAAUUAUUGUAAUGUGUCAUAUUGAUUCUUGAAGGAAGAAACAGUAACAGCUGCAACAACGUUAUCAGGCAAGCCAUUCCAUAUAUCAAAUGCACGAUUUGUCAAAUAAUUCUUUCUAACGGUAGUCUUAAAUAGUUCUUUUUUCAGCUUAUAAGAAUGACCUCUAAGUCUGUCAUGAUAUUGAAUUUGCAAGAAAUUGCGUGUUACUCCAGGAAAUAAACCAUGAGUAAGCCGAAAAAUUUGAAUUGCAUCUGCCCUGUUUUGACGAGCACGUAGAUCUGGUAUUUUGAGUAUUUCAAGACGUUGUUCAUAUGAAACUUGUCUUAAACAGUGUGUCCAUCUAGUUACCAGACUGGAAUGGCAAAUUCCAAAUGCGGCCUUAUGUAAGUGAUGUACACCUUUGAAAUAAAACUGACUGAAGGAUUUGGAAAAACAUGCUUUAGCAAAUAAAACAUUUUACGCGCUCGACCCACUGAUGCUAGACAUUGCUCUGACCAUCCUAACUUAUCAUUUACAAUGACCCCUAGAUCUUUGGUUGAGGUUUUUACACUCAGGAGUGUGCCAUUUAUAUGGUAAAGGUACUUUGGGUUGUUGUGGCCACACUGAAGUACACAGCAUUUUGCAAUAUUUAGUGGUAUUUGCCACUUCUCGCUCCAUUGGAAGAUUAAAUUAAGUUGGUCUUGCAAGUCCGUGACAAGUGGGUUAGCAAAUAACUUAAUAUCAUCCGCAUAUGCUGAAUAGCUGUCCAGUGAAAACAAUAAAUCUGCUGUAUAUAACAAGAAUAAAAUUGGUCCAAGAACUGAUCCCUGUGGGACCCCACUUAAUACUGGUUUAGAGUACGAAAAUUUACCACAGACUUUUACACAAUAGUUUCGAUUUGAUAGAAACGCUCGGAUCCAAUCAAGCAAAUUUCCUGUUACACCAUAGGACUCCAGUUUUGCUAACAAGAGAUUGUGAGGGACUUUAUCAAAGGCUUUACUAAAAUCAAGGUAAAUUAUGUCUACAGGUUGGUUAGUGUCUAACAUUUUUGUCCAUAGAUUUGUGCAGGAUAGCAAAUUUGUGACAACUGACCUACCUGGUAAAAAGCCGUGCUGAUGCUCAGCAUGUCGACGUGAGACUUACAGGUCUAUAGUUAGCAGGAUCAAGUUUAUCUCCUGACUUGUACAAAGGCGUGAUUGUUGCUUGCAACCACUCGUAGGGCAAAGUGCCUUGUAAGAAUGAUUUUGUCAUCAUUUUGGCAAGUGGGCCCGACAACGAAGCAGCACAAGUUCUCAGGAGUUUGGGAGGUAUCUGAUCCGGACCUGGAGCUGUAUUUAAUUUAAUGGCACAGAGUUGGCUUUUUACCAGAUCCGGAGUAAAAUUAAUAUAAGACAACCCACUAAAUGUAGCAGCAAAACUGUCCGCUAAAGUGUUUGCAGUUUCUGUAUGAUCGGAGCAGAGUAGACCUGAAGCAUUUCGUACUAAAGGGACCGACACACGACUAGAGAUAAAUUUACGUACAUGGGAAUAAAAUAGUUUUGGUUUAUUUAAUAUAGAAUUUUCAUAAUUACACCUGGCUAUUUGUAAAUCAGAUUUUAGUUGGUUAGAAAAUCUUUUAUAAGCAGAAAAAUUAUCUUCAGUAGGCUUCCUUUUAAAUUUUUUCCAUAAUUUAGCUUUGUAUUUUAUUUUGUCAAGCAUGUGUUGAUUUAUCCACGGUUUAUCUUUUCUCAGUCGGUUUGUAAACAGUCUGGAAUUUGUUGUAAUGCAAGUUUGUAAAAUCGAUUUAAAAUGUUUCCAUUGUUCUUCCGCAUUUAGUGAAUCUAAACCAUUCCAGUCGUAAGUCAAGAGACUUUCGUCUAUGCGAGUGUAGUCAACAAUUGAUGUUGUUUUAAUUCUUGCAUUUGGCUCUGAAUAUAUCAUAAUUUGUAACUCAAUUUCGAUUUUUGAAUGAUCAGAUGUACCUACAGGAUUCGAAACGUUUAAAGACGAUACAAGGUUAACGUCAGACAAAAUUACCAAAUUAAGUAAUGAAGGACGUUGUUGGGAUCUAAAUCGUGUAGGUUCAGUGACUAUUUGUGACAAAUUAUUCUCCAAGAGCAAUUCAGAAAAUUGUUUUUCGAUGAUUGUUUGACCUGUUGUGUUUUUAGCAGACCAGUCUAUACAUGGAAAAUUGAAAUCUCCCAUGAUAAUUAAGUUAGGAUACUGAUUAAUAGUUGAUUGUAUGGUAUUAAAUAGAUUUUUAUCAUUUUCGUGAUUGUUAAAAGACGCUCCUGUUGGUGGUCUGUAAAUACAUGCUAUAACAAAGG